UACGUAGGGUGCAAGCGUUGUCCGGAAUUAUUGGGCGUAAAGAGCUCGUAGGCGGUUUGUCGCGUCGAAUGUGAAAACCCGGGGCUCAACCCCGGGCCUGCAUUCGAUACGGGCAGACUAGAGGUAGGUAGGGGAGAUCGGAAUUCCUGGUGUAGCGGUGAAAUGCGCAGAUAUCAGGAGGAACACCGGUGGCGAAGGCGGAUCUCUGGGCCUUACCUGACGCUCAGGUGCGAAAGCUAGGGGAGCGAACAGG
rnacentral:rRNA from 1 species